rnacentral:lncRNA from 1 species
ACUAGUUACAACGUUGGAGCAAAUCUAGGUCAGAGAAACUUCAGCAUGACUUAUUGCAAGCCCAUGAUAUAAAUCAUCCAGGAGAGGCCAGGGAAGACCAGCUUCUGAGCUUAUUUAUUGUAGAAAAGAUUGGCAUUAAUGAGCUGGAGGAGCAGAACGCAUCCAUCAGGGCUGAAAACACCAGCCUGUCCUUCAAGGGAGUGAGAUGAAAGAAAACAAGUGGCAUCCAGAGGAACUUCACAAUCCUCUCUCUAAUGGGGACUGCAAGAUGCCAUCUGACAUUGGAUAUUUGAACAUCCCAGGGAGCACAAGCUGAGCCCCAGGUCUCUUCUACUCAAAUCCAGGCUUGUCCCCCUUUGCAAACUCUGCAUUUUCCCCCAGGAAGCAGAAGCCAUAGCUUCAGCCCUCCUCAGCAGGGAAAAGCCUGGAAUUCAGGUCUACCACUUCCUGAGCAAAUACUCUAUUCGGGUAUUAUGCAAAAGGC